UAUUACUUCACCACUUUAUCCUUUAUUACUAUUAACUUGUUUUAACUUAUCUUUCCAGUUAUGUAAUAUUUCUUUUCAUCUUAUUAAAGCCAUCAGUUUUACAGGUCUCUCGCAAAAGCAUCUUAUCUCAACUGAGAUAUUCAAUAGCAACAUCUUCCUCCAAGCUUACACUUUCAUUAAACUCUAAUUGUGUUAAUUGUGUUAUGCUACUGGUUUCUCCAAAUGUGUAAAAUUUUCUCAAGAGAAAACUUAAUUUUAUAGGAUGAAGAAAUAGUUUUUUUAGGUUUUAUUAAUUAAUAG
rnacentral:misc_RNA from 1 species